UACGAUCAUAUCAAUUUGAAACGCCGGUUCUCGUACGAUCACCGAAAUUAAGCAAUGUCCAGACUGGUCAGUACCUAGAUGGGUAACCGCUUGGGAAUAUCAGGUGCUGUAAG